UGUUAUUGGAAGAGGAAUAUACACAUAGAUCAAUGAAACAGAAUGAAGAACCCAGAAAUAGACCUAUACGAAUAUGUUCAACUUAUUUCUUUUAAAAAAGUGCACAAGCAAUUCAAUAGAGGAAAGAUGGCUUUUUCAAGAAACAGUGGUAGAGCAACUGGACAUCCAUAAGGGAAAAAUGAAAUUCAACCUAGGUAUCACAAUUUAUAAACCCAAAAUUGAUCACAGACAUAAAAGUGAAAUUAUGUAAAAAUGUCAAAAUGUAAGCAUAAAAUAAAGUUUAGAAACAAGUGAGAGAGAAAAUUUUUAGGACUUAGGGUUAGGCAAAGAGUUCUUAGACCUAACAUAAAAUGCAUUAGUCAUUAAGAGAAAAAAUGGAUACAUUAGAUUUCAUCAAAUUUCAAAAAAAUCUCUACAAAAGAUCCUAUUAAAAGGAUGAAAAGACCAGCUAUAGAGUAGGAUAAAAUAUGUGCAAACCACAUAUCCAACAAGUACUAGCACAUACUUCUUGCUUUAUUUCUGGAAUAUAUAAAGAACUCUCAAAACUCAACAGUAAAAAAACAAGCAAUCCAAGUGAAAAAACACUUCACUGAAGAAGAUACACAGAUGACAAAAAAAAAAAAAAAAAAGUUCAAUAUUACUAGCCAUUAGGGAAAUAAAAUUAAACCACAAAAUCAUUAACAUAAUUAUCAGAAUGACUGAAACAAAACAAUAGUGACAACAUCAACUGCUGGCAAGGAUGCAGAGCACCUGCAUCAUUCACGUUACUGGUGGAAAUGUAAAAUAAAAUGGUGCAGUCACACUGGAAAAAGGUCUGUCAGUUUCUUAGGAAACCAAACAUGCAAUUAUCACAUGACCCAGCACUUCUGGGCAUUUAAUUAAGGACAAACGAAAACUUACUUUCACACAACAACCUAUAUACAAAUGUCUAUAGCAGCUCCAUUCACAAUAGCCAAAAACUAGAAAUGACUAAGAUGUCCUUCAACAGGUGAGUGGGUAAACAAACUGUGGGAUAUCUACACUAGGGAAUACAAUCAGAUUUAAAAAGAAUAGAUUAUUUAUACAAUCUCAAUCUCCAGAGAAUUACACUG
rnacentral:lncRNA from 1 species